CUAAGUUUGAUGGCGACCGGCGCACGGGUGAGUAACACGUAUCCAACCUGCCGAUGACUCGGGGAUAGCCUUUCGAAAGAAAGAUUAAUACCCGAUGGCAUAGUUCUUCCGCAUGGUGGAACUAUUAAAGAAUUUCGGUCAUCGAUGGGGAUGCGUUCCAUUAGGUUGUUGGCGGGGUAACGGCCCACCAAGCCUUCGAUGGAUAGGGGUUCUGAGAGGAAGGUCCCCCACAUUGGAACUGAGACACGGCCCAAACUCCUACGGGAGGCAGCAUG
rnacentral:rRNA from 1 species